UACGUAGGUGGCGAACGUUAUCCGGAGUGACUGGGUGUAAAGGGUCCGUAGGCGGGGCCGCAAGUCUGACGUGAAAGCGCCCGGCUCAACUGGGCGAGUGCGUUGGAAACUGCGGCUCUUGAAUCACGCAGAGGUCGGCGGAAUUCCCGGUGUAGUGGUGGAAUGCGUAGAGAUCGGGAGGAACCUCGAAAGCGAAGGCAGCCGACUGGGGGAUGAUUGACGCUGGGGGACGAAAGCGUGGGGAGCGAACAGG
rnacentral:rRNA from 1 species